GUGCCCGUAGCUCAGCUGGAUAGAGCGUCAGACUACGAAUCUGAAGGUCAUAGGUUCGACUCCUAUCGGGCACACCA
rnacentral:tRNA from 1 species